GUUUGACAGAUUGAUUUAUUUGUUCGUGUUUUCGUAUUAAUUCAAUUUCUCUUGAAUCUUUUAGUGAAAGUGUGUGAUGUAACAUUUCUAAAGUUAUUGAGGUCAGCUUUAUUGAUGUGUACGUGGGAAUAGACAAACAGAAUUGAGUGGAGGCGUACAUUUGCAAUUCUCGUGGUCACGGACCAUGAACUGAGUUAUGUUUAUGACUAAAGAAAAACCGAAGAAAAUCGUAUCGAAUCAAACCGUAACUCAUUUAAGAGAAACAAAUCAACACAGAAGGAACACAAAUAUAGAACAGUGCUGAUGUUCAAACAAUGAAAACUCCCAUUCAUAUUUGCAUUAAAAAACUUCAAAAUGUACAGAGGUGGGUGUGAUUUAUCAUAAUUACAUAUUUAUAAGGGACGAGUUGUAAUUGUGUCAACAAUUACUGUCUCAUUGUGCGUUACAUGAUUGCUCAUUGUGUUGUAAUUGAGUACUGGAAGGGCCUGUACUUAUAAAUAAUUUUAUAGGUCGAGUGUAUACGCGGUGAAACUAUGUCAGCGUUGUACUAAGCGAGGCAGCGAAAGUACUUUUAUUAUACCAUUACUUUAUACCAGAGGUUCCCAAACUUAUUGUGUCUACUGCCCACUUCAAGAAUAAAUUAUUUUGUAGCGCCCCCAUUUUUUCACCUACUUAAAAACCAAUAUAGCUAGAGCUCAGUCGGUGUCUAAGAGUCUUUCUAGAUGAAAUUACAAAUCGCCUCUGAAGCCUCUACACAACGCCCCAAUUUUUUUUCUGGGUCUCUUUAUCGCCCCCCUUUAGACCUGCAGCGCCCACAAGGGGACGUUAUCACCCACUUUGGGAAAGGCUGCUUUAUACGAAUAGAAGAAUGUUUUCCUAAGUUUAUUAAAAUAUGAAGUUGUUUCACCAUUGAAUCACCCGCCUCUGAAUAAUAUUUUACGCUCAGGGAUCAUGUUUUCAAUGUACUAUUAUAUCUUUAUAUAUAUAAUUUUACUGUACGUGUGUAUGUCACUGAACUCCUCCUGACGGCUGGACUGAUUUGAAUGUUUUAUUUUUUUUGUAUGCGUUUUGAGUGGCUCUCUGGAUGGUUUAGAAUCACAAAUCAGCCCGGCUGAGGGCGCUGCAGUCGGUAUCUAGGCUAUUUAUCUAUACUGCAACUAAACUAAAUAGGACAACGUCUGUCGGGUCCGCUAGUAUACUAUGAAAUAGCUUUGUCUACUUAGUGUUAUGGUAUGUCGAAAGAUGUUUGAAAAGAGUCGUCAGCGAUAAACUGUGUUCCCUGGACAUCAGUGAUGUCUCUAAGAGAUGAUGCCCACAGUCCACAUGAUGGUUUAAUGGUAAGAUUAGAAGUAUUUCUUGACAGUAUGCAAUGGCUUCAAAAACAAUUUUGCCAGACAGAGUCGAAUAGAGAAAUUCAGAUUGUGUUUCGAUUCAGAUGUUAACUGGUCCAGCCAGCCCUUUGUUAGGCUCAUCGAUAAGAUCAAACGUGUUAAUCUUUUAAGCUGCCAAAUUAACUUUCGGUAUUUAUCUCAAACACCAACAUAUUUUUCAAAUCUUUAGUAACAAGCAGCCUUCGUACGAGUCUAGUAUGCUUUGUGCGAGUUUUUUAAACGUUCUCGAUAGCGUACGAGUUAGCCCAAUUUUGUAUGCAGUUGGAACAGCGCCCCUAGCGGCAAACGUAGGCAAACGAUCCCAUUCCAUACAAAU